rnacentral:rRNA from 1 species
CAAUAGCGUAUAUUAAAGUUGUUGCAGUUAAAAAGCUCGUAGUUGGAUUUCUGGUGGGAGCGAUCGGUCUGGCGCUUAGCGCGAGUACUUGCAUCGUCUCCGGCCAUCCUUGGGGAAAGUCUGUCUGGCAUUAAGUUGUCGGGCAGAGGAUCCUCAUCGUUUACUGUGAAAAAAUUAGAGUGUUCAAAGCAGGCUUAUGCCGUUGAAUAUAUUAGCAUGGAAUAAUAAGAUAGGACUUUGGUACUAUUUUGUUGGUUUGCGCAUCAAAGUAAUGAUUAAUAGGGACAGUUGGGGGUAUUCGUAUUCCGUUGUCAGAGGUGAAAUUCUUGGAUUUACGGAAGACGAACUACUGCGAAAGCAUUUACCAAGGAUGUUUUCAUUAA